GGCAGUCAGAGGCGAUGAAGGGCGUGCUAAUCUGCGAUAAGCGCCGGUAAGGUGAUAUGAACCGUUAUAACCGGCGAUACCCGAAUGGGGAAACCCAGUGUGACUCGUCACACUAUCAUUAACUGAAUCCAUAGGUUAAUGAGGCGAACCGGGGGAACUGAAACAUCUAAGUACCCCGAGGAAAAGAAAUCAACCGAGAUUCCCCCAGUAGCGGCGAGCGAACGGGGAGGAGCCCAGAGCCUGAAUCAGCAUGUGUGUUAGUGGAAGCGUCUGGAAAGGCGCGCGAUACAGGGUGACAGCCCCGUACACAAAAGCGCAUGUGCUGUGAGCUCGAUGAGUAGGGCGGGACACGUGGUAUCCUGUCUGAAUAUGGGGGGACCAUCCUCCAAGGCUAAAUACUCCUGACUGACCGAUAGUGAACCAGUACCGUGAGGGAAAGGCGAAAAGAACCCCGGCGAGGGGAGUGAAAAAGAACCUGAAACCGU
rnacentral:rRNA from 1 species